rnacentral:rRNA from 1 species
CCUACGGGGGGCAGCAGUGAGGAAUAUUGGUCAAUGGGCGGGAGCCUGAACCAGCCAAGCCGCGUGAGGGAAGAAGGUACAGCGUAUCGUAAACCUCUUUUGUCAGGGAACAAAGGCGGGGACUAGUCCCCGGAUGAGGGUACCUGAAGAAAAAGCAUCGGCUAACUCCGUGCCAGCAGCCGCGGUAAUACGGAGGAUGCGAGCGUUAUCCGGAUUUAUUGGGUGUAAAGGGAGCGCAGGCGGGAAGCCAAGUCAGCUGUGAAAACUACGGGCUUAACUUGGAGACUGCAGUUGAAACUGGUUUUCUUGAGUGAAGUAGAGGUUGGCGGAAUUCCGGGUGUAGCGGUGAAAUGCGUAGAUAUUCGGAGGAACACCGGUGGCGAAGGCGGCCAACUGGGCUUUAACUGACGCUGAGGCUCGAAAGUGUGGGGAGCAAACAGGAUUAGAUACCCGAGUAGUC